rfam:Myotis lucifugus cont2.17455, whole genome shotgun sequence.
UAGGGGGAGGUUGGCGGCGUGUCUGGUACUUAGGUAAUGGCUGCCCACAGUACCAGCCAUGCCGCCUCCCUCCCCCUACA